CAGAUGGGAAGACCCCAUCGAGACCGACUUUCCAGAGUGUGCUAGCUUCUGAAAACUGUCAGGACAUUUGUUAAAGGACUGACUAAUAGGACCAGCUCACCCUCUAAUGUGGCCUCUGCACUAGAGAUGAGAGCACGGAUCGGAUGUCUGGGGUGCUCCGAGGCGGAGUGGGAUGGCACCCGGGGAAGAGCACCCUUAGGACCUUAGACUCAGUUUUAAGAACGGCUGCCGCAGAGCCAGAUGUCACAGUUGCUUCAGUCUGCCUUUGCCUCCCCCUUUGACAACACUGCAACUGAGGAAGUACAGACUUACUUCCUCUUGGUUUUGAGGACCAGCCAGAGAGUCAGCGUGUGACUUUGGGAGUACCUGCCCGGGACUCUCACUCCAUCAUGCUUGUAUGGGAUGAUUUCAGUGGGCAUUCAGGGGAGGAAGCCAGGAAUAACAUUCCUUAGAGCCCUCCAGAGCUGUAGCCGGAGUCAGAGACCACGUAUGGCAGUGUGGUCCUAGACAUGCUGGCAAGUUGCCACCUAAGCAAUCCCACUGAAGUCUCUCUCUAGUGCAGACCUCUCAUUUGGAAAAGGCAAGAACGCACCAAAAACGAUUUAGACAAGACCUUUCAAAACUCAGCAGGGCAGCCCGCUGAUGGGCCAUAAAUAUCGAGUUGUUUCCAUGAUAUCUUAUUAUGGGGUGUAUAAAAGGACCACUGGGCAAACACACAGGCUGCCUGUCAAGACGGACUUUCACCCUCAAAAGGAGAGCAACCCCACCCCACAAGUGGGAGAAUCAGGAAGAGAAGCCAGCUGAAAAUGCUCCAGUCCAACUUUGAACGGCAAAGUUGGUUCUGAAAGUGCUGGUGUGUGUGCAGGAGACAAAGAAGAGCAUGGGAGCGCUGGCGAGGCUGUGGGAGAAGAGGAAGUGCGCCUAGCGGGAGCUGGCAAAGGCACACAGGGGCAAACUGAUGGGGGGAGUCAAGAGGGACAAUUUCAGAGGGGACUUGGGUGUCAGGUGCGUAGAAGGAGGGAAGUAAAUCGUGGGGUCUUUUGCUGUAGGUGAUAUGGAUGGAUUUUCCCACUGAUACGGUCUUUUCCCUACAUUUUCCAAGCUUUUUGUAAAAAUAAAUAAAUAAGUAAAUAAAUAAA